rnacentral:rRNA from 1 species
AUUGAACGCUAGCGGGAUGCUUUACACAUGCAAGUCGAACGAGUGGCGGACGGGUGAGUAAUAUAUCGGAACGUGCCCAGUGGCGGGGGAUAACUCCUCGGAAGAGUGGCUAAUACCGCAAAAUAUUAGGGCGGCAGAUAUCGGAUUAGCUAGUUGGUGGGGUAAAGGCUCACCAGGGAAAAGAUCCGUAGCGGGUUUGAGAGGAAGACCAGCCAAACUGGUGCGUAGACACGGCCCAGACUCCUACGGGAGGCAGCAGUGGGGAAUUUUGGACAAUGGGGGAAACCCUGAUCCAGCCAUCCCGCGGGUAUGAGAAGGCCUUCGGGUUGUAAAGUACUUUUGGCAGAGAAGCGGUAUCUGCAGAAUAAGCACCGGCUAACUCCGUGCCAGCAGCCGCGGUAAUAC